rnacentral:rRNA from 1 species
UACGUAGAGUGCAAGCGUUGUCCGGAAUUAUUGGGCGUAAAGAGCUCGUAGGCGGUUUGUCGCGUCUGCUGUGAAAACGCGAGGCUCAACCUCGCGCCUGCAGUGGGUACGGGCAGACUAGAGUGCGGUAGGGGAGAAUGGAAUUCCCGGUGUAGCGGUGAAAUGCGCAGAUAUCGGGAGGAACACCGGUGGCGAAGGCGGUUCUCUGGGCCUGUACUGACGCUGGAGGAGCGAAAGCGUGGGGAGCGAACAGG